UACGGUCAUAUUAGGUAGAAACACCCGUUCCCGUACGAUCACCAAAGUUAAGCAACGUUCAGCCUGGUCAAUACCUAGUUGGGUGAUCGCUUGCGAAUAUCAGCUGUUGUAAG